AAGGUGGGAUGACGUCAAAUCAGCACGGCCCUUAUGUCCAGGGCUACACACGUGUUACAAUGGCCGGUACAAAGGGCAGCUACUUCGCGAGAAGAUGCUAAUCUCGAAAGCCGGUCCCAGUUCGGAUUGGAGUCUGCAACCCGACUCCAUGAAGUUGGAUUCGCUAGUAAUCGCGCAUCAGCCAUGGCGCGGUGAAUACGUUCCCGGGCCUUGUACACACCGCCCGGUCAAACCAUGGGAGCUGGGGGUGCCUGAAGUCUGCCACCGCAAGGAGCGGCCUAGGGUAAAACUAGUGACUGGGG
rnacentral:rRNA from 1 species